UACACAUGCAGUCGAGCGAGAAGUCCCGGCAACGGGAUGAGUAAAGCGGCGAACGGGUGAGUAACGCGUGGGCAAUCUGCCCUUCAGUCUGGGAUAACCUUUCGAAAGGGGGGCUAAUACCGGAUGAUGUCUGCUUGGGGCAUCCUGAGUGGAGCAAAGGGGGCGUCCGCAAGGGGCUCUCGCUGAAGGAGGAGCCUGCGUCCGAUUAGCUAGUUGGCGGGGUCAUGGCCCACCAAGGCGACGAUCGGUAGCCGGCCUGAGAGGGCGAUCGGCCACACUGGGACUGAGACACGGCCCAGACUCCUACGGGAGGCAGCAGUGGGGAAUCUUGCGCAAUGGGCGAAAGCCUGACGCAGCGACGCCGUGUGGGGGACGAAGGCCUUCGGGUUGUAAACCCCUGUCAGGCGGAACGAAUCCCCCGAGGACGAACACUCCUCGGGGUUGACGGUACCGCCGGAGGAAGCCCCGGCUAACUACGUGCCAGCAGCCGCGGUAGUACGUAGGGGGCGAGCGUUGCUCGGAUUUACUGGGCGUAAAGAGCGCGUAGGCGGCCAGGGAAGUCCGGUGUGAAAUUCCUCGGCUCAACCGAGGACCCACAUCGGAAACUCCCUGGCUUGAGUCCAGGAGGGGAGGGUGGAAUUCCCGGUGUAGCGGUGAAAUGCGUAGAGAUCGGGAGGAACACCGGUGGCGAACGCGGCCCUCUGGAAUGGUACUGACGCUGAGCGCGAAAGCUGGGGGAGCGAACGGGAUUAGAUACCCCGGUAGUCCCAGCCGUAAACGAUGGGCACUAGGUGUGGGGGG
rnacentral:rRNA from 1 species